CCUGCACAGAAGCUUGAGAUUCUUUUUAGCGUGGUCUCUGCUCAGUUUGAUGUGAACCCAGGACUUAGUGGUCAUAUGCCUAUAAAUGUAUGGAAGAAAUGUUUGCAGAAUAUGCUGGUUAUUCUUGAUAUUCUGGUCCAGUAUCCUAACAUUGUAGUGGAUGAUAUGGUUGAGCCUGAUGAGAAUGAAACCCAGAAGGGGGCAGACUACAAUGGGACUAUUCGGGUUUGGGGGAACUUGGUGGCUUUCCUUGAGCGGAUAGAUGCUGAGUUCUNNNNNNNNNNNNNGAUCCACAUACGCGUGAGUAUGUUGAGAGACUGAGGGAUGAACCUAUGUUUUUGGUUCUUGCCCAGAAUGUCCAAGAGUAUCUAGAGAGGGUUGGAGACUUUAAAGCUGCAUCAAAGGUUGCCCUUAGGCGGGUUGAGCUGAUCUACUACAAACCACAAGAGGUUUAUGAUGCCAUGAGGAAAUUGGCUGAACAAGCAGAUGAUGGGGAUAAUGGUGAAAAGUCAGGGGAGGAACCUAAGGUUGAGGAAAGUAGGGGUCCAUCUGCUUUUGUUGUCACUCCUGAGCUUGUGCCUCGAAAGCCUACCUUCCCUGAGAGUAGCAGAACAAUGAUGGAUAUAUUAGUCUCACUCAUAUACAAGUAUGGAGAUGAGCGAACUAAAGCUCGUGCAAUGCUUUGUGAUAUCUACCACCAUGCUCUAUUGGAUGAGUUCUCAACUGCCCGUGACUUGCUAUUGAUGAGUCACCUGCAGGAUAGUAUCCAGCAUAUGGACAUUUCAACCCAGAU
rnacentral:misc_RNA from 1 species